ACCAAACAUAUUCCAAAACUGCAGGUGUCCGAAAAUAUAGAAACAAAAAAUAAUGUGGCGAAAAUUUAGAGAAACUUAAAAUAUUGCAUGGACAAUCAGAUAAUAUAAUGCAAUAUAUAAAGCGACCUAUGUAUCAAUGACUAAUACAACAUGAUUGUUUAAUACUACGCCAAAGCUAUGCUAACUUAACCCUUAACCUAGAAUGAUAUAGAACAAAAAGUAAAAACACUAAACAUACUGCUUACUUCAUACGAUAUCAGUUAAAAGGCUGUUCGGUGAAGACAUUUUCAAUUACAGGUAAACACAGUUAUUUACCAAUUCACGCAAAAUGUAAAAACGGUGCAUAAUGCAUGUGACUUGUGUUGUCCCAGAUUAGCAUGUGCAGUCUGUACAUCUUAUCAGUUAUGCCAUUUUCUGCUUUUAUGGAAUAUUUAGUUUAAAGGUUUAUUCACAAAGUGUUGUCUCUGAUUUGCCUGAGCAAACUUCACAUGCUUUUCUGGGACAACACCAUCCAAAUGCAUUAAGCCCUGUUUGGCCAGAAUGAGGCUGAAAUGCUACCUGUUGUUGUUGUUAAUGUUGCUGCUGCUUUGAAUGGGAUACAGACAGAGAUGGUGCAAGUCCAGAUGCCAAAGUCAACAAACCCAAAACCGGGCAUGUCAGUAAACAGCUGCUGCUAAAUGGCGUCAAUCACAGACUGCUCCUCAGGCGUCAGGUUCACAUUAUUUCACAUCAACAUAUGGAGGUCAGUCACAUUUACAGAAACUCACUUAACGCCUGCUCUAUCCGCUGUAUAAUGUACAAAUCUUUUCCACUUCAGCAACUCGUCUGGAACAAGUUUGCCAUGUCCAGCAUUGAAUCGUUGCUAAGCAACAUCGACGAUGGGACAAAAGUCGGACUCAUCAAGGCUCUGUGUUUGAAGUGUUGCUGUUGCCAACAUUGGAGAAGAUGUGGCGUGCUAGGCUGAUGCAAGACGUCUUCGUACUAAAUUUCUUGAGCGAGUUGUAGUAUUUGUUAAAGAAGGAGGUGCGGAUUGCCAUCGACAUUUACUUCAACGAUGUUUGUCUUGUUGGCUAAUACUGUUUGCUGAAAAGGAAAACUUAACAUGUGAGACAAAAAAACUUCAAAUGGGUAUUGCAGGCAAACGGGGGAUCUGGAUCAAAGACAAUAACGCUUUAUGAUCAACAACUGACUGAUUAACAUUCUGAAUUUUAAUAACAAAGAAAUAAAACACGUAUUAAUGUG